rnacentral:rRNA from 1 species
GACGAACGCUGGCGGCGUGCUUAACACAUGCAAGUCGAACGGAAAGGCCCUGCUUUUGUGGGGGGCUCGAGUGGCGAACGGGUGAGUAACACGUGAGUAACCUGCCCUUGACUUUGGGAUAACUUCAGGAAACUGGGGCUAAUACCGGAUAGGAGCUCCUGCUGCAGGGGGGGGGGUGGAAAGUUUCGGCGGUUGGGGAUGGACUCGCGGCUUAUCAGCUUGUUGGUGGGGUAGUGGCUUACCAAGGCUUUGACGGGUAGCCGGCCUGAGAGGGUGACCGGCCACACUGGGACUGAGAUACGGCCCAGACUCCUACGGGAGGCAGCAGUGGGGAAUAUUGCACAAUGGGCGGAAGCCUGAUGCAGCAACGCCGCGUGCGGGAUGACGGCCUUCGGGUUGUAAACCGCUUUCGCCUGUGACGAAGCGUGAGUGACGGUAAUGGGUAAAGAAGCACCGGCUAACUACGUG